AGAGUUUGAUCAUGGCUCAGAACGUACGCUGGCGGCACGCCUAACACAUGCAAGUCGAACGAAGUAGCAAUACUUAGUGGCAGACGGGUGAGUAACAUGUAGGUAUCUGCCCUUUGGCCUGGAAUAACACGAGGAAACUUGUGCUAAUACCGGAUAAGUCUUUACGGAGAAAGCUUUAUGCACCAUUGGAUGAGCCUGCACUUGAAUAGUUUGUUGGUGGGGUAAUGGCCUACCAAGACUGUGAUCAAUAGCUGAUUUGAGAGGAUGAUCAGCCACAUUGGGACUGAGACACGGCCCAAACUCCUACGGGAGGCAGCAGUGGGGAAUCUUGCACAAUGGAGGAAACUCUGAUGCAGCGAUGCCGCGUGAGUGAAGAAGGCCUUUGGGUUGUAAAGCUCUUUCGUCGGGGAAGAAAAUGACUGUACCCGAAUAAGAAGGUCCGGCUAACUUCGUGCCAGCCGCCGCGGUAAUAC
rnacentral:rRNA from 1 species